rnacentral:rRNA from 1 species
UACGAAGGGGGCUAGCGUUGUUCGGAAUUACUGGGCGUAAAGCGCGCGUAGGCGGUGAUCUUUGUCAGAGGUGAAAGCCUGGGGCUCAACUCCAGAAUUGCCUUUGAAACGGGAUCGCUUGAGUCCGAGAGAGGAUGGCGGAAUUCCUAGUGUAGAGGUGAAAUUCGUAGAUAUUAGGAAGAACACCGGUGGCGAAGGCGGCCAUCUGGCUCGGUACUGACGCUCAGGCGCGAAAGCGUGGGGAGCGAACAGG